rnacentral:lncRNA from 1 species
AUGGGAGGCAGAGACAGAGGGGGAGACAGAGACAGGGGGAGAGACAGAGACAGAGGCAGGACGAGCCAAGGAACCCUAUGCCCUCAGCCCUCCUGCAGCCUCGCCCAGAGCCCCGGACCCUCCGUGGGGCCACUGAGCCCAGGGCCGCCCUGGACUGCCCUCCCCUCCCCCACCCUGUUGUUCGGGCCACAGGCUGAAGGGACCAGUCUAUUUGGACCCAUCGAGGUCCGGGGACCAGCAGGGCACCUGGCUUACGAGCCACCAGGUGUAAAACUCCCUUCUACUCUCAAACUUUCCAGAGUCUGCCCUUUAAACCAGCCACUGCCUUGCAAAAUCUCAGCGGAAGAAACCUUUCUGCAAAGCGAAGCUUCCUGGGAAUCGCAAGACACAACAGAGGCCGAGGUGGCGCUGGGGUCCAGGCCAGCGUCCCACCCCCGAACCCUGGGCUGGCAUGCAGACUCCAGGCGGGCUUCUGGAAACCAGUGCCCGGGGUGCCCACAUUGCCCCCACACAUCUGCACCGAGAGCAGAUCUGCACAGAGCGCCUUCAAUUUCUUGUGCCUUCAAUGAACGCUUAGCAAUUCAGAGACGGCGGGAAAUGAAAUACUCUCUGCUGUGCGGAAGGCAGCUUCUGCCCCCGCAGGACUCGUGGAUCAGAGUCAUUAUUGACCUUAUCUUCCUACUCAUCUCCAGUUCCCGGCGUUAUCACCUGCAUUCCCAAGGCCAGGGAACCGCCCGGGGACAACCCUCUGGGUGUGGCGCCUGCUGGCACCUGCGCGUGGACAUGGGCUCAACCACGGCUGUGCUUGCACCCCACCCUGGACAGACAGAGCCAGGCCAGGCAGAGCCUCCCGGUCAGCGCCUCGGGGACUCUGGGGGGAGAGCAGCUGUCAAGGUGUCACCGCCCCCCCCACUCACACACAAGGAGGCCCCCAGGGAGAAUCGGGGGCUCCGGUCCAUCCCUUUCGGUUCCAGUUUCAUGAACCUCGUGCAAGAAGCAGGUGGAAGCAGCUUCUUAUGCAAAUCCUUUUCUCAACAGUCUGAGACUUUCCCUUUUGAUAACAGGCAGCCAGCCCGAGGGGGGAGCUGUGGAUGGGCCCGCUUGGAGGCCCAGUUUAAAAUGUGA